rnacentral:rRNA from 1 species
GAUGAACGCUCGCUGUGUGCCUAAUACAUGCAUGUUGAACGGGAUGUAGCAAUACAUUCAGUAGCGAAUGGGUGAGUAACACGUACCUAACCUACCUUUAAGACUGGGAUAACUAUUGGAAACAAUAGCUAAUACCGGAUAUAGUUAUUUAUCGCAUGAUGAGUAAUAGAAAGAAGCUUCACAGCUUCACUUAAAAAUGGGGGUGCGGAACAUUAGUUAGUUGGUAGGGUAAUGGCCUACCAAGACGAUGAUGUUUAGCCGGGCCGAGAGGCUGUACGGCCACACUGGGACUGAGAUACGGCCCAGACUCCUACGGGAGGCAGCAGUAAGGAAUUUUCCACAAUGAGCGAAAGCUUGAUGGAGCGACACAGCGUGCAGGAUGAAGUUCUUCGGAAUGUAAACUGCUGUUAUAAGGGAAGAAAAAAUAGAAUAGGAAAUGAUUUUAUCUUGACGGUACCUUAUUAGAAAGCGACGGCAAACUAUGUGCCAGCAGCUGCGGUAAUACAUAGGUCGCAAGCGUUAUCCGGAAUUAUUGGGCGUAAAGCGUCCGUAGGUUUUUUGCUAAGUCUGGAGUUAAAUGCUGAAGCUCAACUUCAGUCCGCUUUGGAUACUGGCAAAAUAGAAUUAUAAAGAGGUUAGCGGAAUUCCUAGUGAAGCGGUGGAAUGCGUAGAUAUUAGGAAGAACACCAAUAGGCGAAGGCAGCUAACUGGUUAUAUAUUGACACUAAGGGACGAAAGCGUGGGGAGCAAACAGG